AUUUUAAAGAAUUUAAUCAACGCGUCGACAAUGUGUGUUGUCAGUACUUUUUUCGAAAAUCGCGUAUUGACAUGUCCGACACAACGUACUUGUCGUGUCGGUGCAUCAUAGGAUGCAAGCAUAUCCACAACACAACACAUUAGCCUCUGAUAAACACACUAACUACAAAAUAACUAAGGUGCUUAAUAUGAUAAGCUGGUAUGACAACUACCAUGGUUGAAAAUUACCUAUCAAAUCCUCUAACCUAAACCUUUUACCUUUUCUGGAUGACCGGCCAGUUUAAUAAACUUUGAGGGGAUGGGGUUGCCAAAAUCUACAGGGAGACAGGUGCUGGGGUAGGGGAUAAUUUGUUUAUUUUUAUUUUUUGAUUUCUUUUCUUUUCUUUCUAUUCCCAUUUUUAUUUAUUUUUAAUAAAAUUAACGAGUUUACCCUUUCUAUCUCUCACAACAAUACUCCACAUACCUUGCAUGUGACAUUUAAAUGGUGAAGCGGAUGAUUUCUGUCUGUUGGGGACCAAGGUGGACCUAUUUGCACAAAUUUAAAAGGUUGAGGGAUCUCCGCUGCAAUUUCCCCUUAAAUCGUUGGCACCUGACCUUUUCCUGUAGACGACGAUCGUGGUUAACACUGUUUAGUCAAGCAACAUUACAGGAUAAAUUUGGUAACGAAAUAAAGAAGGGUAAGGCAUAAGCAUGCCUUAUUGUUGUUCAUAUAUCUAAGGAGUUCAUCUAUUUGAUGAUGCGAUUCAAAUAUUGUUAUCUCCCUAAAUGGAUCCCCAGAAACAUGAGAUUGAAAUUUUAGGCUUUUUGUCUUAAAACUGAUAUGCCUUGGCAGUGCACUCCAUCAUGAGCUGGAUAUUGCAUCCCCAGCUUGGUUGGAGUGUUUUUGAUAUGGUAGGCUUCAUCUAUCACAAGAUGCUCUUUCCCGGGCUCAUGGAUUUUGUUCUUGAUUGCUUUGACAUUUGAUGACAUAAAAGAUUUGGUUAUCUUGUUUUGCCAUCAAUUUAGUUGGUAAUGAAUUGAUUGAUGUUUUAGAUCUAUAUCUCGAAUACCUUGAAUGAGAACUAUCCAGAAAAAGUUAAAAAUCAAACUAAAUUAUUUGUUUUACUUUGACAAAUGUUUGAAAAUGUUAAGGGUUUAUUUGUUAUUUUCUUUAUUUUCUUUCAAGGUAUCUAUUUAAUCCACCUUCUGCUAUAUUUGAAAUAUUCUCCUAUGGCAUGCAAUUGUGUUAAACUUUCACUGGCUGAUCUAUCUAUCUAUCUGUCUCCUCUCCUUUUCUGUAUCAGCAUGAGUUUGACAUAUAUUAUUUUAGGCAUUUUACAUUGCUUAAACUUCGAUUAUCG
rnacentral:lncRNA from 1 species